AUACGGAGGGUGCAAGCGUUAAUCGGAAUUACUGGGCGUAAAGCGCGCGUAGGCGGUUUAGUAAGUCGGAUGUGAAAGCCCCGGGCUCAACCUGGGAAUGGCAUUCGAUACUGCCUGACUAGAGUAUGGUAGAGGGAAGUGGAAUUUCCGGUGUAGCGGUGAAAUGCGUAGAUAUCGGAAGGAACACCAGUGGCGAAGGCGACUUCCUGGGCCAAUACUGACGCUAAGGUGCGAAAGCGUGGGGAGCAAACAGGAUUAGAUACCCCAGUAGUCC
rnacentral:rRNA from 1 species